rnacentral:rRNA from 1 species
AUAUCAGUCAUGCAUAGCAUAUCAAUAAGCGGAGGAAAAGAAACUAACAAGGAUUCCCUUAGUAACGGCGAGUGAAGCGGGAAGAGCUCAAAUUUGAAAUCUUCAAGGUUUUACCUUGACGAAUUGUAGUUUAAAGAAGUGUUUUCUGUUGAAGUUUUGGUAAAAGUUCUUUGGAAUAGGACAUCAUAGAGGGUGAGAAUCCCGUAUUUGACCAUUACUUUCAGCUUUGUGAUACACUUUCAAAGAGUCGGAUUGUUUGGGAAUGCAGUCCAAAAUGGGUGGUAAAUUUCAUCUAAAGCUAAAUAUUGGCGAGAGACCGAUAGCGAACAAGUACCGUGAGGGAAAGAUGAAAAGAACUUUGAAAAGAGAGUUAAACAGUACGUGAAAUUGUCAAAAGGGAAGCGUUUGACACCAGUGUUGUUUUCUCGAAAAUCAAUUAAAAAGAGUUGGAUUUUGUGUUGUAUUGACUUUAUCAGCUUUCUUCACUCUUUUCCAGCUUUUUUUAAUGCACUUUUCGUUUAACAAGUCAACAUCAGUUUCUUUUGUUGUAAAAAGGUCAUUGGAAGGUGGCUUUCUCUUCGGAGAAAGUGUUUAUAGCCUUUGACUCAUGCAAUCGGAGAGGACUGAGGUCUGCAGCGUAGAUCCUUCGGGGUUAGAUACAUUUGUGCUAAGUUAUAGCUUUUCAUAGACAACUUGUUGGACUAUGUUUAGUCUUGUAACUUACUCGCUUAUGCUAUUUUACCUACGCUUAGGAUGUUGAACUCUAUCACACACAG